rnacentral:rRNA from 1 species
CAGCAGCCACGUAAUACGGAGGGUGCAAGCGUUAAUCGGAAUUACUGGGCGUAAAGCGCACGCAGGCGGUCUGACAAGUCAGAUGUGAAAUCCCCGGGCUUAACCUGGGAACUGCAUUUGAAACUGUCAGGCUGGAGUCUUGUAGAGGGGGGUGGAAUUCCAGGUGUAGCGGUGAAAUGCGUAGAGAUCUGGAGGAAUACCGGUGGCGAAGGCGGCCCCCUGGACAAAGACUGACGCUCAGGUGCGAAAGCGUGGGGAGCAAACAGGAUUAGAUACCCGCGUAGUCCCUGUCUCUUAUACA